rnacentral:rRNA from 1 species
UCCGUAGGGGUCUGCCAAGUCCGAUGUGAAAGCCCACGGCUCAACUGUGGAACGGCAUUGGAUACUGGCGGGCUGGAGUCUGCGAUGGGUGAGCGGAAUUCCUGGUGUAGCGGUGGAAUGCGUAGAUAUCAGGAAGAACACCGAUGGCGAAGGCGGCUCACUGGCGCAGUACUGACCCUGAGGGACGAAAGCGUGGGUAGCAAACA